rnacentral:rRNA from 1 species
AUGGAGAUGGCCGCGGCGACGAGGGAUGGAAAGAAUGGCGGCGUCCCGGAAUGGCGGGUGACGGUGCCGGAGGGCGCGUCGGUGACGGUGGAGCACGAGGUCUGCCGGGCCGCGCGGGCGUGGGCGUGGGUGGUUUCCUGCGUGGUCGUGCUCGGGGAGAAGGUGUCCGGCUUCGCCAAGCGGAUAUGGAAGAUCGGCGCCGACGAUCCCCGGCGGGCGGUGCACGGCCUCAAGGUGGGUCUCGCGCUCGCGCUGGUCUCGGUGUUCUACUACACCAGGCCCCUGUACGACGGCGUUGGCGGCGCCGCCAUGUGGGCCAUCAUGACGGUCGUCGUGAUCUUCGAGUACACCGUUGGUGGCUGUGUGUAUAAGGGGUUCAACCGAGUCGCCGCGACGGUCAGCGCCGGCGCGAUCGCGCUCGGCGUCCACUGGAUCGCGGCCAACGCCGGCCACGAGCUCGAGCCGUUCAUCCGCAGUGGAUCGGUUUUCCUGCUCGCUUCCAUGGCGACGUUCUCGCGGUUCAUACCCACGGUGAAGGCGCGAUUCGACUACGGCGUGACCAUCUUCAUCCUGACGUACAGCCUGGUGGCCGUGUCGGGGUACCGCGUGGAGGCGCUCCUGGCGAUGGCGCAGCAGCGGGUGUGCACCAUCGGCAUCGGCGUCUUCAUGUGCCUCUCCGUCUGCGUGCUCAUCUGCCCCGUGUGGGCGGGGCAGGAGCUGCACCGCCUCACCGUGCGCAACAUGGAUAAGCUCGCCGGCGCCGUGGAGGCCUGCGUGGGGGACUACUUCGUGGAGCAGGCGGACGGCAAGCAGCAGCCGCCGUCCGCCGGGGCGGACGGGUACAAGUGCGUGCUCAACUCCAAGGCGUCCGAGGACGCGCAGGCCAACCUGGCGCGGUGGGAGCCCGCGCACGGCAGGUUCGGCUUCCGCCACCCGUACGAGCAGUACAAGAACGUCGGCGCCGCCAUGCGGCACUGCGCCUACUGCGUGGAGGCCCUGAGCGGGUGCGUCCGCUCAGAGAUCCAGGCGCCCGAGCACGUCAAGCGGUACCUCGCCGACGGUUGCACGACGGUGGCGGCGCGGUGCGCGCGGGUGCUCGGGGAGGCCGCGAGCUCCGUCGGCGCAAUGACUACGUCGUGGAGCCUGGAGUUCGCCGUGGCCGACAUGAACACCGCCGUGCAGGAGCUCCAGAGCGACCUGAGGGAGCUCCCGUCCAAGCUGGCGGAGGAGUCGCCUGCGACGGUGAUCGACGCCGUGCAGCUCUUCACGGUCACUUCGCUGCUGAUAGAGGUGUCCACGAGGGUGGAGGGCGUCGUGGACGCGGUCGACACGCUCGCCAGCCUUGCCGGCUUCAGAUCAGCGGACGCGAAACCUGAAGCUUCAGAAACCGAAACCAAAGUGAUCAAUCCAGACUCGGACGAGGAAGCACAUUGA